AUCGCAGCGCUCCAAGAGCACGGUUGGGA
rnacentral:sRNA from 1 species